rnacentral:rRNA from 1 species
GAUGAACGCUGGCGGCGUGCCUAAUACAUGCAAGUCGAGCGCAGAGAUCAGGAGCUUGCUCCUGUGAUCUGAGCGGCGGACGGGUGAGUAACACGUAGGCAACCUACCCAUCAGACCGGGAUAACCACGGGAAACCGUGGCUAAUACCGGAUGAACCUUUGAGACAUCAGUCUUAAAGUUGAAAGGCGCUUUUGGUGCCGUUGAUGGAUGGGCCUGCGGCGCAUUAGCUAGUUGGUGGGAUAGUGGCUCACCAAGGCGACGAUGCGUAGCCGACCUGAGAGGGUGAUCGGCCACACUGGGACUGAGACACGGCCCAGACUCCUACGGGAGGCAGCAGUAGGGAAUCUUCCGCAAUGGACGCAAGUCUGACGGAGCAACGCCGCGUGAGUGAAGAAGGGUUUCGGCUCGUAAAACUCUGUUGUUAAGGAAGAAUGACACAUGGAGUAACUG